GUGAGGAAUUUUGCGCAAUGGGGGCAACCCUGACGCAGCAACGCCGCGUGAGUGAAGAAGGCCUUUGGGUCGUAAAGCUCUGUCAACCGGGAAGAAGUUAUGGGAGUCGAACAGGCUUUCAUAUUGACGGUACCGGUGAAGGAAGCAUCGGCUAACUCCGUGCCAGCAGCCGCGGUAAUACGGGGGAUGCAAGCGUUAUUCGGAAUUAUUGGGCGUAAAGGGCGCGUAGGCGGUUUUGUCGGUCAGAUGUGAAAGCCCGGGGCUCAACCCUGGAAGUGCAUUUGAAACAGCAAGACUUGAGUACGGGAGAGGAAAGCGGAAUUCCUGGUGUAGAGGUGAAAUUCGUAGAUAUCAGGAGGAACACCGAUGGCGAAGGCAGCUUUCUGGACCGAUACUGACGCUGAGGCGCGAAGGCGUGGGUAGCGAACAGGAUUAGAUACCCGGGUAGUCC
rnacentral:rRNA from 1 species